CAUUAGUUUUUUGUUUGUUUUAAUUUGCUUUUUUUAAGUUUUAUUUUGUUUUAGUUCUUUUUUUCCCCAAGAACUUGACAUUUCCCCUCCCUCUGGUGCCCACAACUACGGAAGCAGCCUUGGCUGGCACAUGGCAUCUCUUCGGGACUCAAGAGUCACUACAGCUUCCAGGUGGCCCAACAUCCUCUUUACUUUUGAAUGUUUUUUCCCAAUCCCUUGACAUGAUGGAAAUUUCCUCAGCUCACUGAGAGAGGUACUGCUGUGUCAUAAUAUUCAAAGUUCUCUCACAUCUCCAAUCUGUUGUCCUUCCUAAUACCUUUUCCCCACCUUAACUCUGUUCUGACUUGUUUUCAUUCUACAUACCUGGUGUUUUCCUACCCCUUGCUGGAGAAGGCAUCACAGUAAAGCUAUCUAGAUGGUCAGCCACCAGAAGCACACAAGGAUUUCACAAGACCAUGAUCCUAGGCCUGACUGGAGAGUAAGGACAUCCUACAGUUGCACAUAAACAUGUUCCCAUUUUCCUUUACACAAGUUUGUGUCAGUUACUGGGCUUCCCUGUGGCUCAGCUGGUAAAGAAUCCACCUGCAA
rnacentral:lncRNA from 1 species